rnacentral:rRNA from 1 species
UACGUAGGGGGCAAGCGUUGUCCGGAUUUAUUGGGCGUAAAGAGCGUGUAGGCGGCCCGACAGGUCCGUUGUGAAAACUCGAGGCUCAACCUCGAGACGUCGAUGGAAACCGUCGGGCUAGAGUCCGGAAGAGGAGAGUGGAAUUCCUGGUGUAGCGGUGAAAUGCGCAGAUAUCAGGAGGAACACCCGUGGCGAAAGCGGCUCUCUGGGACGGUACUGACGCUGAGACGCGAAAGCGUGGGGAGCGAACGGG